rnacentral:lncRNA from 1 species
UUCCAGAUUUUCUGGGAGCAGGAGCAGAUGUGGAAGAAGGCAAAUUAGGAGGAGAGGUAUCAGGAUUGAAGGAAGGAAUGGAGGCUGGAUUAGAAGAUGAAGAAGUGGUGGCAGAAGGAGGAGGAGGAGGAGAGGAACAAACAGGUAUCAACAAGUCAGUGUCAGAGAAGGAAGGCUCAAGAGAAGGAACUAAGGGAAAGG